AAAAAUUAGUUAAAUUUGAUACAAAACAAUUGUUUUCGACUUUCUGGUUCCCAUUAGUUACUGGUCAUAGUCUAGCUCUAGUGAAACUAAAAAAACAGACACAGGGAUCGUUAAAAAAUUCGCAAGAAAACGUUUUAUGGUUUUAUUUUGUAGUAGGAGGUGUGCAGAAUGACAUACUAAAAAUUGGUAAAAAUGUAUUUACCAGAAGUUGUUCGAAUAUUGCCCUAAAGUUAUAAUUUUUUUUUUUUUUUUUUUAAUUUGUGUGCCUCGACUACUAUACUUCGUUCACCCAACAGAAAUAGUUAAGCCCCUCCUCAACAAUUACCGCCACAUUUGAAUACGACAUUGUUAUUGGUGUAAUUUUUGAAGCCACAAUCACACUUGUAAAGCGAAUUGGCCGAAUUGGGUAAUCUGUCAUCUGUCAUCUUGCCUAUUGCGUUUCUGCCGGUUUUUACGUUUUUACAUCUUUACUUGCGUCAAUUUGCCAUUAAUCUCCUUUAUUCACACAAAAUAGUCUUUAUAAAGACUCGUCGGUGUAUUCUAAAGAUAGUCAGGGUUAUAUUAUUCGCGAUCAAGAAAAGUUGUACGCAAACAUGAAUGUCGCCGGUGCUGCUUUCUCUCCACCGAAAAAACGUUCUGCCAAGCACUUUUCAGUUGAAGACAAAACUGGCAUUUUAAAUAUCUUCAAGAAAUUGGAAGAACGCAAUUCGCCAUGCUCAAAGUGAAGAGGAAAAAAUGUGGCAAAUUGAUAUUUUAAUGGACAUCGUAGUGGAGCCAUUAGUAAUUCAUGUGGGAGAUGACUCGACGUCAACGGAGUCCGAAUCCGAGUGAAGCGAUACAGGAUGUAAAUUGUUAUGUACCUUUGUUUAUAUUCAAGUGCACUUGUAAUUUCAAAACUUUGUGCUGCUGUAAUAAUACUUUUUUGUACUUUUCUCAAUAUAAACAGUGUUUUUA